rnacentral:tRNA from 1 species
UUGGUGGAGUAGGGGUAACACGCUCGCCUCGCAUGUGAGAUGUUCGGGGUUCAAAUCCCGGA